CUCUCACUCUCCUCGUCGCCGCCCUCUUCCUCUCCUCGUAGCCGGCCUCUCCCUCUCCCCGUCGCCGGCCUCUCCCUCUCCCCGUCGCCGGCCUCUUCCACCGGCCUUUUUUUCUCACCACCCCGCCUCCACUCAUACCCCGUAAGUCAACAAAAUAUCGAUUCUUUUUGCGCCGGCGACGAGCUUCUAGGCGAAGGACGUGUGGAUGUGUAGCGGCGCCAGAGCUCGAUAUAGGCAACGAAGGCGUGGACGUGGAGCGGUGCCCGAGCGGCGGAUCUGGAGCGGCGGCUCUGGAGCGGCGCCCGAGCAACGGAGGGAGAUGGAGUUCCCUCCUGGCGUGGCGGCUAGAUCUGCAACGCCAGCAGCUGCGGUACGCCACCCUCGCUGCUGUCGCAGGGAGACGCCGCUCUUCCCCUUCUCGGUCCGCCCUGAUGUGGUUUCCUCUCCGUGACCCGUCAUCGGAGGCACAGCCAGAAGCAUCCCCGCCGCGUGCAGCUGCUGCUCCCGGACGCCGCCGCCGCCCUCCGCAAGGAGUGACGAUAGCCUGAAGCUCUGCGGCCCGGCGUGCGCCGAGCGGCGCGCCGCGGGGGCACCGUCGCCGACCGGCCACACGACAUCGCUCUCGUCCAGCUAGAAGCAUGCGCUGUCGUGGCCCGCCUCCGACUGCUUCAGCAAGCCAAGAAACUGGAACGCGCCCAUGCCCGGCGACCUCGGCAUCUCCAUCGAUGAUGUAUCAUUGGCUUUGGCAACAUUGAUCCUUCUUCACGUGCUGGUUGUUGCAUUUGAAUUCAGAUGGCGUCGACCUUGGCCUCCUCGUCGAUCUGACUCUGCAUUAAGAAAACUUGUUGGCAUCAAGUGUCCCCCUUCCUCCACCGGUAGCCUUCCAUCGAAUUCACAUCAAAACACUUCAUUCAUUCACCCAGAAAAAAUAACUGACGUUGCCAACAUCUCACAAGAAAGAAGAGAGCAGAGUUGAAGUUGCCAGCCUGUUUACUUGCAGCUACACCUGUGUUCUUCUUCUUCUUCUUCGCAGAAUCAAUCAGGUUUACUUGCAGCCUUACUCACUUUGUGUCUUAGUUAAUCAAAUUCCUCAAUUGAGGAACACCUGGAAUUGUCAUUCCGGUCUUGGGAUCAACAUUAGCAUAUGGACUUAUCAUCCUGGUUUUUGGAUGAUUUAGUUAAUCAAAUUGACAUCAAUUGACCUGUUUUUUUGGAUCAAUUGCAGAUUCUCUUGAUUGGAGUGGAGAGGAGCAGAGACGAGAGGAGCAGCAGAAGUGGUCAGCGCAGCGGCUGACCUCGAGCUCUUGAUUGGAGUGGGGGGAGGCGGCCGGCGAAGGAUCCGAAGUUGUGGCGGAGCAGGCAGCCGGCGGGAAGGGCGGACGACGAGGGAGCUGCAGACCUUGGCGCGGAAGGGCGGCCGAUGAGGGAGCUGCGGACCACGGCGGGGAAGGGCGGCCGGUCGGCGAGAGAGCUGCGGACCGCGGCGGGGAAGGACGCCGGAGAUGCGGACGAUGGAGGAGCCCGGCGAAAGGGAGUAGCGACGGCGGAGAAGCCUGGCGGAGGAGAGGAGCGACGGAGGAAGACGCCUCCCGAUGGAUUACAAAUCGGGGGUAGUAUUGUACUUUCACACUAUUUCACCUGGUCGGAAGGAUGCCCCCAGCGACAAUUAUUUCGGAACGGAGGGAGUAUUAAGUAAUACCAUGUCAAACAUAAAUGGAUGUGAUUCAUAUUUCAGAUUAUCACAAGAAAGACCAGGAAAGAAAUAGAGAAUACAAAUUUUAAUGGUUGCUA